rnacentral:rRNA from 1 species
UACGUAGGGUGCGAGCGUUAAUCGGAAUUACUGGGCGUAAAGCGUGCGCAGGCGGCUUUGCAAGACAGAUGUGAAAUCCCCGGGCUCAACCUGGGAAUUGCGCUUGUGACUGCAAAGCUGGAGUGCGGCAGAGGGGGAUGGAAUUCCGCGUGUAGCAGUGAAAUGCGUAGAUAUGCGGAGGAACACCAAUGGCGAAGGCAAUCCCCUGGGCCUGUACUGACGCUCAUGCACGAAAGCGUGGGGAGCAAACAGG